GAUGAACGCUGGCGGCGUGCCUAAUACAUGCAAGUCGAGCGAACAGACGAGGAGCUUGCUCCUCUGACGUUAGCGGCGGACGGGUGAGUAACACGUGGAUAACCUACCUAUAAGACUGGGAUAACUUCGGGAAACCGGAGCUAAUACCGGAUAAUAUAUUGAACCGCAUGGUUCAAUAGUGAAAGACGGUUUUGCUGUCACUUAUAGAUGGAUCCGCGCCGCAUUAGCUAGUUGGUAAGGUAACGGCUUACCAAGGCAACGAUGCGUAGCCGACCUGAGAGGGGGACCGGCCCCCCUGAACCUGGGCCCCGUUCCGGCCUCCUCGGGAGGGCGCCGGAGGGAAUUCUCCCGCAAUGGGCGAAGCCCUGCCGGGGCAACGCGGCGGAGGUGAUAAAGGUCUUCGAUUCGUAAACUCUGUUAUUAGGGAAGAACAAAUGUGUAAGUAACUAUGCACGUCUUGACGGUACCUAAUCAGAAAGCCACGGCUAACUACGUG
rnacentral:rRNA from 1 species